CAGCUGCUGGUUGAUGCGGGUGACCAUCCACAGGAACAUCUUCUCAUAGACGGCUUUGGCCAGAGCACCCACUGAGUUGUACACCUUCAUGGACAGAAAAAACAAAAGAGACAAAAAUUAACAGUUCACCCCGUGCAUGUAACCCAUUGUCCUGUGAUUGAGAGACAGGCCCGGCAACAUUGGGGCCUCUCUGCCGGCAAAGAAGACUUUCUAGUAUGCUGGGAAGGUAAUCUUCGACAGUGCCUGGUGGGGCCUCAAAGAAAGAGUUGAAGACCUGAACUAUGCCAGCAGCUCUUGGAAAAGAAAAGAGAGGCAUGAAAUCAAGAGAAGCACAGAAGAACAAGAAGCAAUUUUCCGGUCAAUCUCAGAUUUCACCUGAUUUAACUCAAGUUGGAUGCGAAGGAUUUUGCCUUCUUCAUGUUCAAGAGAUGCCUUUUGAAAAAGCAACAUUUAGAUUACCUAAAUGUAAAAUUCAAAGAGCUUUUUUGUGUUCAUUAUUUCUUCAAGAAGGCAUUUUAAAAACUCAAGUUUUCAUACAUCUUAAUUUAGCCUACUAGUUCUGCAUUCCCAAGUGUUUCAAGAUGGUCCAUGGAUUCCUCGUAGGCAUUCUUGAUCUUGAACAGCUCAGUGCUGAGAGAACGGGACUCCUUCUGGGAGGCCUCAAGUUCAGCCUGAGUUUCCUCCUG